rnacentral:rRNA from 1 species
AUUGAACGCUGGCGGCAGGCCUAACACAUGCAAGUCGAGCGGAUGAAGGGAGCUUGCUCCUGGAUUCAGCGGCGGACGGGUGAGUAAUGCCUAGGAAUCUGCCUGGUAGUGGGGGAUAACGUCCGGAAACGGGCGCUAAUACCGCAUACGUCCUGAGGGAGAAAGUGGGGGAUCUUCGGACCUCACGCUAUCAGAUGAGCCUAGGUCGGAUUAGCUAGUUGGUGGGGUAAAGGCCUACCAAGGCGACGAUCCGUAACUGGUCUGAGAGGAUGAUCAGUCACACUGGAACUGAGACACGGUCCAUACUCCUACGGGAGGCAGCAGUGGGGAAUAUUGGACAGUAGGCGAAAGCCUGAUCCAGCCAUGCCGCGUGUGUGAAGAAGGUCUUCGGAUUGUAAAGCACGUUAAGUUGGGAGGAAGGGCAGUAAGUUAAUACCUUGCUGUUUUGACGUUACCAACAGAAUAAGCACCGGCUAACUUCGUG